rnacentral:rRNA from 1 species
GAUGAACGCUAGCGAUAGGCCUAACACAUGCAAGUCAGGGGCAUCACAUGAGGUAGCAAUACUGAUGGUGGCGACCGGCGCACGGGUGAGUAACACGUAUGCAACCUACCUUCCACACGGGGAUAACCCGGAGAAAUCCGGACUAAUACCCGAUAAUACAGGGGUCCCGCAUGGGAAUAUUUGUUAAAGAUUUAUUGGUAGAAGAUGGGCAUGCGUUCCAUUAGUUAGUUGGUGAGGUAACGGCUCACCAAGGCGACGAUGGAUAGGGGAACUGAGAGGUUUAUCCCCCACACUGGAACUGAGACACGGUCCAGACUCCUACGGGAGGCAGCAGUGAGGAAUAUUGGUCAAUGGAGGCAACUCUGAACCAGCCAAGUCGCGUGAAGGAUGAAGGUCUUAUGGAUUGUAAACUUCUUUUAUACAGGAAUAAAUUGAGUCACGUGUGGCUUUUUGCAUGUACUGUAUGAAUAAGGAUCGGCUAACUCCGUG